UAAUCCAUCUGCAAGUAAGAAAAAAGCUCCUGGGAGUUAAUUACCACUAAACAACUCUUCUUGCUCAGCCAUCUCCUUUUUGAUGAGACCCACCUUCCCUAACUUGCCACAAUCAAUUUUUCACCUUGAUUUAUGUUUUCAUAGCCCUGGGAGGACCACAUGGCAAGGUAUUAAAAGUAACCGCUGGCCAACAGACAGCAAGAAACUGAAGCCAUCAGCCCAACAACCCAUAAGGAAGUAAAUUCUGCCGACAGCCACAUGAGAGUUUGGAUGCAGAUUCUUCCCAGCUAAGACUUGAGAUCAGACCAUAGUUGGUACCUUCACUGCACCUUAACUUGUAAGGGUAUUUGAGCCAGAGGAGCCAGGGGAGCCAGCGGAGCCAGCUCGACCAUUCCCAGACUCCUGGCCCACACAGCUAUGAGGCUUUGGGAAAAUGCUGAUAAGACACCUCUUAGGACAUCUGCCCCUGUCCGGACUGUCUCUUGAAGAACGAACAAAGACAACCCCCCUGAUGUCUGCUCAAUUUUAGCCCCCAAAUCCUCCUCCCUUCCUGUCACCUAGCAACAGCAGCCAAUGCUUUAAAAGGGGGAGCCCCUUUUGUUCUUUACCCUUGUAUUGAAUAGCAAUG